rnacentral:rRNA from 1 species
GACGAACGCUGGCGGCGUGCUUAACACAUGCCAGUCGAACGGAAAGGCCCUGCUUUUGUGGGGUGCUCGAGUGGCGAACGGGUGAGUAACACGUGAGUAACCUGCCCUUGACUUUGGGAUAACUUCAGGAAACUGGGGCUAAUACCGGAUAGGAGCUCCUGCUGCAUGGUGGGGGUUGGAAAGUUUCGGCGGUUGGGGAUGGACUCGCGGCUUAUCAGCUUGUUGGUGGGGUAGUGGCUUACCAAGGCUUUGACGGGUAGCCGGCCUGAGAGGGUGACCGGCCACAUUGGGACUGAGAUACGGCCCAGACUCCUACGGGAGGCAGCAGUGGGGAAUAUUGCACAAUGGGCAGAAGCCUGAUGCAGCAACGCCGCGUGCGGGAUGACGGCCUUCGGGUUAUAAACCGCUUUCGCCUGUGACGAAGCGUGAGUGACGGUAAUGGGUAAAGAAGCACCGGCUAACUACGUG